UUACACUCUCGCGGUACAUUGACGUUAUCAACCUGUCAGCGCAGCAAGAAGUCGAACACACGUAUUUGCGGGCGCGCGCCUCCGUCCUCGUGAGUUCAAAGUGGAUUUUAACCGUUUACCUCAGACGACAGUUUUCAUUUCUAUGGCAUAUUCUAAGGCCAUUUUCUUGUUGUGUUUUGAUGUUUUCCAUUGGCUGAAGACUAAGAUGAGCCUGAAGAGGAGAUUUGGGAAGUCUUUGCUUUGCCAGAUCACCUGUGGUCGAGAUGUUUUCUAACAAGAUGCCUUGUUGGUCUGGGCGAGUUUGAAGUCUCUCAUAGACAGUCCAGAAGGUCUGGAGUCCAUCUUAGCUUUUAUUGGUAAGUGACUGCACAAAAGGCUGUUUGACCCACACGUAAAGCAACCAGUCAAUGUUUGCUCUCUUCAGCAUCUCUUGGGGGGGGGGGGGUUAAAUUAUUUUACUUUACUCAG